AUUGAACGCUAGCGGGAUGCUUUACACAUGCAAGUCGAACGAGUGGCGGACGGGUGAGUAAUGUAUCGGAACGUGCCCAGUGGCGGGGGAUAACUACUGGAAACAGUGGCUAAUACCGCAUACUAUUGGAGCGGCCGAUAUGGGAUUAGCUAGUUGGUGGGGUAAAGGCUCACCAAGGCAACGAUCCGUAGCUGGUUUGAGAGGAUGACCAGCCACACUGGGACUGAGACACGGCCCAGACUCCUACGGGAGGCAGCAGUGGGGAAUAUUGGACAAUGGGGGAAACCCUGAUGCAGCCAUGCCGCGUGUAUGAGAAGGCCUUCGGGUUGUAAAGUACUUUGGGCAGAGAAGCGGUAUCUGCAGAAUAAGCACCGGCUAACUACGUGCCAGCCGCCGCGGUAAUUC
rnacentral:rRNA from 1 species